rnacentral:rRNA from 1 species
UACGAACCGUGCGAACGUUGUUCGGAAUCACUGGGCUUAAAGGGCGCGUAGGCGGACUAUCAAGUCUGGGGUGAAAUCCCGCGGCUCAACCGUGGAACUGCCUCAGAUACUGACGGUCUCGAGGGAGGUAGGGGCAUGCGGAACUGUAGGUGGAGCGGUGAAAUGCGUUGAUAUCUACAGGAACUCCGGUGGCGAAAGCGGCGUGCUGGACCUCUUCUGACGCUGAGGCGCGAAAGCUAGGGGAGCAAACGGG